rnacentral:misc_RNA from 1 species
AAUCUCACACUCGAGAGUUUUUUCUUUCGAGAGGUGGAUUUGGGUGUUGCAAUUUGCUCACCUUGAAUGCCUUAGUGAUUCUAACUGUAGCCUGAUGUAAUAAGUUUCAUCUGGUCAAGGGGAAAAUUGCUUCGAACAGCCUUUAUCGGCACUAUUUAAG